UCACGAAUGUUUGAUCUUGAACAGAACUUACAACAUCAAAUAGUGGGAGUCUGUACCUGAACAAAUGUCAAAUCAUAUUUUUCGCUGAGAUGGCCAGUCAAUUUGAGUAACGAUAUUGUGGAUUCUACGCAAUGACGCAGUUUUACGUUAUCACGCAAUAACAUCAAAGUCAUUUAGCAACAAAUCAACCUGCCUCUAGCAACUUACCCAGAAAAUGAGUUGGCAACACUGCGACUGGAGUGUAACUGUAAAAUGGCGCCCAGUGAAAUCUGAGUGGAAAAGAAAAGGGAAUGUAAUAAAAGAGCACAGAGACAAAUUGUGACUCCAAUGCACAAGAAUAACGCUUCUACGGACGUGUCCAUCCAAACAGUCACGUUGGAUGGAAGAAGAGUAGCGAAUAGUAUGGAAGGCUUGUUUGAAGAGCUAGUGAGGCUGAAUGUCCACAGUGUCCCCAGUAUCGGAUGAAGGAGUUCCUGGAGUCCCUGUCCAACAAGAGCUCAAAGGCACUGCAGGAGUUCAACCAGCAGGCAGGUGUUAUCACUACAACCACCACCAUGGUUUACCAGCAUGGGGUCAACUGCAUCUACACAGACAGCAACGAGGUGGCUGGGUCACUGUUGGAACUGUCUGUCUGGUACAGGUGUCCCAGCAAAAGGUGAUGUCAUAACAGCAGCAGCUCUCGCCCCAUAUGACCACAGCCGCAAAGGCCAAGACAUAAUACAGGGGGGUCACCAUGAAGAUGAUCCUAACAUGCUGCUCCCACACCAUCCUCCAGAAGUCAGCCAUGGUGCUGCGCAAAGGACCCUGGCUACAGAUUAAGUCUGGCUCUGUACAGCCCCCUGAAAAGCAGACCGCUGACUUGAUGAAUGGAUAUAUGGACAGACAGAGUACUUACAGGGACAUAACUAGCGUUGAUAUAGCUUCACUCUACAGUGGUAAUCUGAAAUCACAGGGACUGUUAUUAAUCAACGUGAUCAGAAAGUGGGAAGCAUUACCGAACAUGGGAGAGAUGUGAAGGAUGUGUUAAUGUGCUUAGAUACAGCAGGUUAUAUAGUCAUGGUAAUUACUCUCCUAUUACUCAGGGGCAGGAUGUGGUGGUGCUAUGAUAUGGUGUGUGCUAUGAUACUCUCAAGGGAGUAUGUAGGGGUAUCUGUUCUCUCUGUUAACCUUCCAGGUCUUCAGCCCUGGUAGUGAGUUAUUUACCAUCAUCCAGCUCCUGAAGAAUAAACAGCUAAUGGGACACUAUGAAACAGCCACAGCAGACACUGCACAAAGACUCCAAAGCACAAUCAUCUAGAAAAAAAAAGAAAAGAAAAAUAUGCCAUUUAGCGGACGCUUUUAUCCAAAGCGACUUACAGUCAUGUGUGCAUACAUUCUACGUAUACUGUAUGGUGUGGUCUCACAAGACUGAUGGCCUAGAUUAGUGAGUUUGGUUUACCUCAAACUGCCCUUGGCAUCGAGUGAUUGAAAGCACAGGUGGAAUUCCUGUAGUUUAUGUGCCCGUGAAAGCACACUUAUUCGAUGUGGAAACAUGGCAACAGUCUUCAGCCGAUUAAAACAAGUUUUUUAAACAAAGUGGUGUUUUUACAAGUGACUACACCCAUAUUGUUCUAAAAUUCCAUCAUUCCAUGCUUCUGGGUUGGACUUGAGAAAACAACAAUAGGCUAAAACACUUCACUAACAGCACUCAGUUACUGUAUAUCAACUAAUGAAAGGUUACUUUUCUCUUCCAUAUUUUAGCAGAUGCUCUUAUCCAGAGCAAUUACGGUUAAGUGCCUUGAACAUCAACAUAUUUUUCACCGAGUUGGCCUCAGGGAUUCGAACCUUUCGGUUACUGGUCCAAUGCUCUAAAACCGCUCCGCUACCUGCCACCCAUACCAUUUCACAAAGACUCAAGUUAUUAUAUCCACUCCUUCAUUGACUUUCAGAGUUCCUCACCUCAUGUUUGUUAUGGGUGCAGAGAUUAGGCAAAGCUUCCUUUGGUAACCAAGAAUGGAAGUAUAGUGUAGAGGGAGCCAGGCUGGUGAGGUGGUGUUGGGUAGUUUUAAAAGAAAUGUGAUCAGAGGAUCACAAAGCCAAAUCCCCCACCCACCCCUGCUAGCUAAAGAGGAAUUUGGACACACAGUGGCUCUCACACACAAGGAUUUGAACACCAACCUGAGAACACUAUACAAACCUGCAUCAACAGGUCUACAACUCAAAACACAGGUAAAGCACAGAGUGAGCAACCCCAGCCUAGUGUUCCUUAUUAGUUAGUAUCACCUUUGUAAGUGCUCCUUUGAGUGAGAAAGAGUUUAGAGAGCAACGGGGGCUCUUCCCAUCGAUGUGUUAUGUCCUGUCAAGUUGUCAGUCUCCAAUUAUCCAAGCCACCACAUUUUAUUCUCUCAAUUCAAAGGGCUUUAUUGGCAUAGGAAACAUAUGUUUACAUUGCCAAUGCAAGUGAAUAGAUAAUAAGCAAAAGUGAAAUAAACAAUCAAAAAUUAACUGUAAACAUUAUACUCACAAAGGUUUCAGAGAAAUAGAGAUAUUUCAAAUGUCAUAAAAUGUAGUAAUACACAGCUGUGUACCUUAAAACCUUAGGAAACCUGGCCAGCUGCAUACCACCAUGCACCCUACUGCUGGCUUGCCUCAAACUAACCAGGGUUGGUCCCUGGAUGGGAGACCAGAUGAUGCAGGUACUGGUGUUGGAGGGCCAGUAGGAGGCCCUGUUUCCUCUGGUCUAAAACAAAUAAUAUCCCAGAGCAGUGAUUGGGGCUAUGGCCCUGUGUAGGGUGCUUUCUUUGGAUGGGAUGUUAAAUGGAUGUCCUGGCUCUCUGUGGUCACUAAAGAUCCCAUGCCACUUAUUGUAGGGGUUGUAACCCUGGUGUCCUGGCUACAUUCUCGGUUCUCAGUCAACUUACCUGGUAAUUCAAGGGUUACUUUUUUUAUCACUUCAAUCAAGAGAGGACAGAUACCACUGGUCUAAGCAAUAGUUUAUCAAUUAUAUAUGUAUGUCACAUACAAAUACCAAAACAACUUUUUAAAAUUAUGUAACAAGUGUAAAUAACAUGAAAAAUC